rnacentral:rRNA from 1 species
UACGUAGGGUGCGAGCGUUAAUCGGAAUUACUGGGCGUAAAGCGUGCGCAGGCGGUUUUGUAAGCCAGAUGUGAAAUCCCCGGGCUUAACCUGGGAAUGGCAUUUGGGACUGCAAGGCUGGAGUGUGGCAGAGGAGACUGGAAUUCCCGGUGUAGCAGUGAAAUGCGUAGAUAUCGGAAGGAACAUCAGUGGCGAAAGCGGCUUCCUGGACCAGUACCGACGUUCAGGCACGAAAGCGUGGGGAGCAAACAGG